GUUGGAAUAGCUCAGUCAGUAGAGCGUGAGACUCUUAAUCUCAGGGCUGUGGGUUCGGGCCCCAUUUUCGAAGCG